rnacentral:rRNA from 1 species
AGAGUUUGAUCCUGGCUCAGGAUGCAUGUUAGCGGCAGGCUUAACACAUGCAAGUCGAGGGGCAGCGGGGAGGAAGCUUGCUUUCUCCGCCGGCGACCGGCGCACGGGUGAGUAACACGUAUGCAACCUGCCCCUGUCAGGGGGACAACCCGCCGAAAGGCGGGCUAAACCCGCGUACAUGCCACCGGGGCAUCCCGGAGGCAGGAAAGGCUUCGGCCGGACAGGGAUGGGCAUGCGGCGCAUUAGGCAGUAGGCGGGGUAACGGCCCACCUAACCGACGAUGCGUAGGGGUUCUGAGAGGAAGGUCCCCCACACUGGUACUGAGACACGGACCAGACUCCUACGGGAGGCAGCAGUGAGGAAUAUUGGUCAAUGGUCGGGAGACUGAACCAGCCAAGCCGCGUGAGGGAGGAAGGUACAGAGUAUCGUAAACCUCUUUUGUCAGGGAACAAAGGCGGGGACGUGUCCCCGGAUGAGUGUACCUGAAGAAAAAGCAUCGGCUAACUCCGUGCCAGCAGCCGCGGUAAUACGGAGGAUACGAGCGUUAUCCGGAUUUAUUGGGUUUAAAGGGUGCGCAGGCGGUCUGUUAAGUCAGCGGUCAAAGCCCGGGGCUCAACCCCGGCCCGCCGUUGAAACUGGCAGUCUCGAGUUGGAGAGAAGUAUGCGGAAUGCGCGGUGUAGCGGUGAAAUGCAUAGAUAUCGCGCAGAACUCCGAUUGCGAAGGCAGCAUGCCGGCUCCACACUGACGCUGAGGCACGAAAGCGUGGGUAUCGAACAGGAUUAGAUACCCUGGUAGUCCACGCAGUAAACGAUGAAUGCUGGCUGUCCGGGGGGAUUGACCCCUGGGUGGCGAAGCGAAAGCGAUAAGCAUUCCACCUGGGGAGUACGCCGGCAACGGUGAAACUCAAAGGAAUUGACGGGGGCCCGCACAAGCGGUGGAGCAUGUGGUUUAAUUCGAAGCAACGCGAAGAACCUUACCAGGUCUUGACAUCCAGUGCAAACCUAAGAGAUUAGGUGUUCCCUUCGGGGACGCUGAGACAGGUGGUGCAUGGCUGUCGUCAGCUCGUGUCGUGAGAUGUUGGGUUAAGUCCAGCAACGAGCGCAACCCUUGUCAUUAGUUGCCAUCAUUAAGUUGGGCACUCUAAUGAGACUGCCGGUGACAAACCGGAGGAAGGUGGGGAUGACGUCAAGUCAUCAUGCCCCUUAUGACCUGGGCUACACACGUGCUACAAUGGACGGUACAACGAGAAGCGAACCUGCGAAGGCAAGCGGAUCUCUUAAAGCCGUUCUCAGUUCGGACUGUAGGCUGCAACUCGCCUACACGAAGCUGGAAUCGCUAGUAAUCGCGGAUCAGCACGCCGCGGUGAAUUCGUUCCCGGGCCUUGCCCUCAAGGGCCGUCAAG